CGUUACCUAUGCGCGCUACCAAAUACAAUAUAAUACUCGCUGGUUCUAACCUCCGAUAACCUUACGAAAUCGUCUCUACCGGAUUUAAUAGUGAAAAUUUAACGUGUAUGUCAUUGACGCAAUGUUCACGACGAGAGUUUUAGUAAGUCUGGCCUCCACCGCCGAGUGCGGGAGGCCGCGCUCCCUUUUGGUUUUGGCCGGUCGAGUAGGCCUGAGCGGGAGCCUACGGACUUUCCUGAGCGCCCUGCCCGGCAGCUGCACUCGGUCGAGGCCGUCCCCGCGGGGAACUCGGGCCCCGGGUCGCGUCGUCGUCUGCGCUGGGAAGUCGCAGAGAACGUUUGACUUGAAAGCUUCUUCCAGUGGUGGAGCUCAAGAGAAUGUGAGGAGCAAUGGGUUAUGGUUGAGUGGUCACACUAAUAACAAUAGGUGGCGAUUUGACGGUGGUGGUGGUGGUGAUGGCAAGGUCUUUAAUGCGCCGCUGCCCGUCGCUGCUGUGUUCGGUCUGUCCUUCUUGUCAAUGUUGUGGGGCAACGAAGACGACGAAGAGAAGACGCCCGAGGAGAAAAUCAUUCAUUUGCUUAAACAAGCAAAGCUUUGUGUGCUGAAAAAGGAUUUAAAGGGUGCAGAGAAGAAGCUGCACGAGGCACUGUUUAUGGCUGAGGAGGAGAAGCACACGAAUGCAAUAAUCUACACCUAUGACCUGAUGGCCAAUGUAGCUUUCCUCGCAGGAAAGCUGGACUCUGCUGAGACCUUGUAUAAAGCCACAUUGGGUUUGAUGCUGAGCUCUGGUGUUGAGAAGGACAAUAAUGCCGCCAUUGAGAUAUCGCUGAAGCUUGCGGCCAUCUACGCUAUGCAGGGCAAGAAUGAGCUUGCAGUACUUGGAUAUGAGUGGUGUGUGAAGUUGAUGGAGGAAAAGCUUGUGCGACUGACAGAAGUGACUGAUGGAAGUUUAUCAGAGGAGUACAAGGCCAACACACGGUUGCUGCUGGGGAUGACGCUCGACUCAUUUGGGCGUUACCUCCGGGCCAACGGUCACUGGGAGUUGGCGCGCCAGCAGUACGUCAAGGCCCUGGCCAUUUCACAUGAGGUGCAGGGGGAUCAGCACCCACAGACAGUGGUGCUGAUGAGUGACCUGGCCACCACCUUGGACGCACUGGGACGCUUCGCCGAGGCCGAGGAGUUGUCAGGGCGUGCAUCCAUCAUCGCCGAGGAGACCGAGCAUCCGGAGCAGCCCACUGUUUUCCUGAACCACGCCGGGGUCCUCCUUCACCAAGGCGCGAAAACUACAGCCUGGCCGAGGCCAUGUACAUGAAGGCAUUGAAGUUCGCGGAGAAGCAAAAGGAUGCGAUCACUGCUCAAGAGAUCAGAAAGGGCCUCGAUGAACUGCAGAAAAGAAGAGCAAAAGCACAGAUAGCAGCAGUGUGAGGACAGUGGCUGUGGAAGUGAUUUAUCAGCUGCAUCUGAAGUCACGACACGAGGCUUGACCAACCCCGCCAAGGCCUCUGCAGCCUCUGGCGGCCCACUUCUUCCCGCGGUCACAUUCUGCGGCCUCUGCUCACAGGGAAGCACCACCAACCCUUCUCGGGCCUCCGCCACUUCUGGCGGUCCGUGUCUACCCAGGUCACACUCCAUGGCCUCCAACCAUCUGUGCUACAGACGGGCAUCUCCUAUUCCUGCCAGCAUGCCACCACUACCACCGGCCACUAUUGCUCAUCCAUCUUGGGCCUCCAUCCCUGCCUGCCGGCACCGAUGCUCAUUGGCGCUCUGCUGUCUCUGGCUACGAGUGCCAGUUUCUGAGCUCUCCUUUCAGGGCUGUGCCUGGUGCUUGCUCUUGACUGCGGUUUGCUUCCCUCUUUACAUCUUGGGCCCGUCAUCUUCGGUGGCCUUGGCCGACAUUGGGCUGCGCACUGCGGCCAUCUGGGCGCCAUGCCUGCACAUUGGGCUGCUUUUGGUGGUCGCUGGUCGACGCCUGUGGCGACCACGAGCAGAGCACUGCCAUCAUCCCGCUGCUGUGUCCCACCAUCGCCAGUAGUUUUUUUUUUCCGCCGCCAGCUACCAGCUCCGGCUUCUCCAAACAAUGCAUCACUUGCUGCAGUGUCUUGUCACCUCCAGCUGCCUACUUGAAGACUACAUAACCUACUCAUCCACUGCUCUUGAUCGGCAUCCAUCCUCAUGCCAGUUCCUCUACCUUUAGGUCAUUCCUACUUGAUUUACUUUUCUCUUCACCCCUGAUCUUUCUUCACUCGGCAAUACUUGCCAGCUUUGCCUCUUUCGCUGAAACCAUAAAAGUGGCUGCAGAGGUCGCAUGGCUACGGUCAGUAACUCCUUGCCUUCUCACUGCUUUCUCCGCCGCCUCUUCAAAACCCUUUCCUCACCACAAUGAUGACAACUACUACUCUGUACAGCAGGCAUCACAUUCGGCCGAUUAAACAUCCCUUUGAUCUUUUCCCUAAUCACCAAACUAUGGAUCAGAGCGCGAACGCAACAUAAAAUGGGCUGGAGCAGCACACGUCACUAAAAAAUAAUUAACCAAGAGACAUUGCAUUAUACCAGGGGUCCUCAAACUACGGCCCGCGGGCCACAUGCGGCCCGCCGAGGACAUUUAUCCGGCCCGCCGGGUGUUUUCGCCGCCGCUGCCUGUCUGUUACUUUUUUUCUACAUGAGAAGGACGGUCAUUGGUGGAAGAGGGAGAGGGGGCGGAGUUCCCCCCAAUCAGACUGCAUUGAUGGGCAGUGCAGUCUGUAUGUCUCUGUGUGGGCAAAGUUAUUGCUGGUAUAUUGUUUUUGUAGCGCUGUAUAUAUAUUGGUAUUUUACUAAUAUCAAUUUUGACUCCCUAGGAAACAAUGAUGUCAAGAAAGAGAAAAAUUUACUCGGAGUGUAGGAUAUUCAAAGAACAGUGGACUUAUGAUUACUUUUUCAUGCAGUACAAGGAAAGAGCUGUGUGUCUAAUAUGCCAGAAUAUAGUGUCUGUGUUCAAAGAAUACAAUUUGCGUCGACACUAUGAAACUCAACAUAAAGAUAAAUAUGAUUGUUUGGUCGGAGAAGUGAGAAAAGAUAAAAUAUUAAAACUGAAAAAUACAUUAACAACUCAGCAAAAUACUUUUGUGAAGCAGAAGAAGCUAAUAGCGUGCACUGGCAGACCAUUCGUGGACGGAGAAUUUGUUAAAGAAUGCCUUCUUUCUGUUGCCAAAGAGAUGUGUCCAGAGAAGGCCGAUUUAUUUAGUACAGUGAGUCUUUCAGGACCUACAAUUACACGGAGUAUUGAAGAAAUGGGAGACAAUUUGCAUCAGCAUUUGCAAAACUCCACAAAAAAACUUUCCUAUUUUUCCUUGGCACUCGACGAAAGCAAUGAUGUUCGUGAUUCUGCACAACUUCUAAUUUUUAUUCGUGGGACAAAUGACUUUCGAAGUCACAGAAGAGCUUGCUGCACUGCAAAGCAUCAAAGGAACAACUACAGGAGAGGAUAUCUUUCGAUUUAAAGCUUUCGUGACUGCAGGGAUUAAUCUUCUUGGUUCUUUCGGUAAAGUCACAUAGAA